UGGGGAAUUUUGGACAAUGGGGGAAACCCUGAUCCAGCCAUCCCGCGUGUGCGAUGAAGGCCUUCGGGUUGUAAAGCACUUUUGGCAGGAAAGAAACGUCAUGGGUUAAUACCCCGUGAAACUGACGGUACCUGCAGAAUAAGCACCGGCUAACUACGUGCCAGCAGCCGCGGUAGUACGUAGGGUGCAAGCGUUAAUCGGAAUUACUGGGCGUAAAGCGUGCGCAGGCGGUUCGGAAAGAAAGAUGUGAAAUCCCAGAGCUCAACUUUGGAACUGCAUUUUUAACUACCGGGCUAGAGUGUGUCAGAGGGAGGUGGAAUUCCGCGUGUAGCAGUGAAAUGCGUAGAUAUGCGGAGGAACACCGAUGGCGAAGGCAGCCUCCUGGGAUAACACUGACGCUCAUGCACGAAAGCGUGGGGAGCAAACAGG
rnacentral:rRNA from 1 species